AUUGAACGCUGGCGGCAUGCUUUACACAUGCAAGUCGAACGAGUAGCGAACGGGUGAGUAAUAUAUCGGAACGUACCGAGUAAUGGGGGAUAACCAAUCGAAAGAUUGGCUAAUACCGCAUAUUAUUCGAGCGGCCGAUAACUGAUUAGCUAGUUGGUGGGGUAAAGGCCUACCAAGGCGACGAUCAGUAGCGGGUCUGAGAGGACGAUCCGCCACACUGGCCUUGGACACGGCCCAGCUGCCUACGGGAGGCAGCAGUGGUGAAUUUUGGACUAUUGGGGCAACCCUGGUCCAGCCAUGCCGGUUGUAUGAAGAAGGCCUGCGAGGUGUAUAGUACUUUUGUUAGGGAAGCGGUACCUAAGGAAUAAGCACCGGCUAACUACGUGCCAGCAGCCGCGGUAAUAC
rnacentral:rRNA from 1 species